GAAGCAAGCCAGACCGCCGCUGGGGCAAGCAUGGAAACAUGGCCCUGGAGGAAGGUCCGGACUGCACAGAGCGGCGUAGCAGCUAACGGCUGCCCGGCGAAAGCCGAGGAUCAGAGCAACAGAGACGAGUCGAUGGUGGGCUCACCGAGAGGUGGUCUAUCCGGCGCCCGCGCAAGCGGGUGUGACGUGCGGCGACAGCCGCGCGGCAUCGGGCGCAAGCCCGAACCGGGUAGCACCCUUUGGUGGGCAAGCCCACCAAAGGGUGAAACGGGCAAUCUCUACGCGCAGCAACACCAAGUAGGCCAGCGUUGAUGCGGCUCGCAGAGCUGGCGGGUAGGUGGCACCGAGCCGGGCAGUGAUGUCCGGCCCAGAGGAAUGGCGGUCACGCCGGGGGCGACCCCGGUGCACAGAAUCCGGCCUAUCGGCUUGCUUCACUC
rnacentral:RNase_P_RNA from 1 species